rnacentral:lncRNA from 1 species
AGUGUUAGGAAACACUUGGCUGAUUCAGAUCGUGACAGUUUGAAGAUGCACCCUAAACAGAAUGGCCAGACACAAGAAUGGACUAUUAUGGUUGUGAUUUCCACCUCUGGAUCAUUAUAUAGCCCAGUUAAGUACUUCAUGUACUUUUAAUUUUUCUCUCACUAAUCUGUGGCAAAAACAAGCAAAGUGGCUCGUUGAAGAAUGUCUGGCUUCUCAAAUUGUAUCCACCGAUUAGUCUUUAAACAGUUAUCUGCAUAUGGAGAGAACAGAAAUCCAGUAUCAUGUACAAACUUGUGCAGAAAUUGUCUAUUGCAUCAAGUUGUUUGAAAUAUGGUCUUUUAUUUUAUCUCCCCUCACACAUUAUUCAUUUUUUAUUUCUUUUCUGUACUAAAAUGUCAGCCUGCAACAAAUUAACAAUAAAAUACAGUUAAUCAUUUAUACCCACAGGGGUCUGCAUCCUCAAAUUCAACUACAGAUUGAAAGUAUUUGAAAAUAAAAUUGAGUCUGUCAUAAAUAAGU